GCUCCUGUGGCCUAGUGGUUAGAGCGUCCGCCUAGGAGAUGCGGAAGAUCGUGGGUUCGAUCCCCAGUCGAAUCA